rnacentral:ncRNA from 2 species
AUGGUGUUACCUGCAGCUGGUUCGGCCGCCCAUNGGUCGUCGCAAGAGGGAACCCGGUGCGAGUCCGGGACUGCCCCGCAGCGGUGAGUGGGAACGAACGCCGUCACCAAGCACUGGACGCGAAGCGUCUGGGAAGCGACGGCCAGUAGGCGAGCUCGCCGCACCGAUCGGCCACGGCCGAAUCGGUGCGGCUCUCCGGCCCACGAGUCCGAAGACCUGCCAGCGCACCGCACGGGAC